AUGGGGGCCGUGGGGCCAGCAGGGCAAGUGGGAAGGAUCUGGCAUGGUCGCCCUCGCCAGCUGGGAGCAGAGCGGCAGCAGCAGGACCGGGUGAGGCUGGGGAUGCUGCUGCUGCUUCCACCCGGCAGGAGGAAGAGGAGGGAGAGGAGGAGGAUGUCAGACCACGAACGGGAGCAGACGCUGGGAGGGGGACAGGCAAAGGUUGGCCACAGACACCCACCCUGCCGGGAAGGGGUCCCAGAGGCACGGGUGUCCCCUCGGGUUUGGCUAACAGCAGCCCCGGGACAGAGAGGGGACCCUGCAGGCUGCCUGAAGCCACCCAGAAGCAAAGCCCUGCCCGAUUCCGGUGGCUCCAGGCAGCCCUGGCCCUGCACCAAUUCCUCCCCAGCCCGUGCAGAGCCCCAAAACGUGCGGGCAGGGAAGGGAACCUUGUGGGGGUGCGCAGGGACCGCGCUGCGGGACGGAGAGCAGGGGACGGUGACAGCGGCUGCGAGCGGUCACCCGGCGGGGGUCUGGGUGACCAGGGUGCUACUCGCUGUGGGAUGGGGUACGUUGGGGUGGGAUGGGGUGGAGGGGGGACAGGGGACACCUGGCUCUGCAAUUCCUACAGCGCAGCUCCCUCUAGUGUCACAGCCACCCUCCGGACCUGCCACCGCGCAGGGACAGCACCCAGGAGGCAAGGUCACCGCUGCGCAAGGACGGCGCCGCUGGAGAGGGUCCCCAGGGCCGUGCAGGGGCAGCAGCCACCGGGAGGGUCCCCAGAGUGCAGGGACAGCACCCACAGGGGGGACAAACCCCUGUCCCUUGUCCCACAGGCAGCCCGGGGCCAAGCCCUGCGCCUCACUGCUCGCGGCUGAGGCGGCGGCUGGUGAAGCACCGGCAGCCAGCCCGAAAGCUCCUCCUGGCCUAAUUAUUCCUAAUAUCCAAUUCAUCAGCCUCGCAGGGGAUGAUCGCACUCCUCUGGAGCUGCUGCCAGCACCGAUCCUGCCCAGGGUUUGUCACGCUGCCACGCCGGGCCAGGGGAACAGCAGGCACCAGGAGGGCGGGCGGCUGCUCCCUGCCACGGCGGAGCACGGAGAGCCCCAUCCCCGUGUCCCCGUCCCCAUCCCCGUGCCCCAUGAGGGGUGGCAAGGGGUUCAGGGGGGGCACAGCGUGUGCUCAGCCCCGGGGUCAAGCUGGGGUGGGUGCUCGGGGGGUUUGGGGGGUGAGGACCAUGCGUGUGUGGCUGCGGGGUGGCAGGGCUCCCUGGGCUCUCCGCCGCCAGCGCACGCAGCGCGGCGCCAGCCCACCCCGUUUGAUCUCCCCGGCAGGAGACAGCUCUCCGAAAUCGCUAAUUCCCUGCCGGGGUGGGGUUUAAAAAGUAUAUUAAAAAGGGGGUGGGAAAGGAGGAAUUUUGCCGCAAAGAUUGCUGCUGACAGCCAGCCGUGA
rnacentral:lncRNA from 1 species